GAACGUCUGCUGCACCACUUUCUCUCAACUUUGUUGCCCUUUGCCAAGCUGAGGGAGAGGGCUAGGGUGAGCUCCCCGUUGUUUGCUCUAUUGAAAUUGCUAGCUGUAGUCAAUUGCCAUUGCCUGUGUAUUUGGGUAGUCGGUCGUUAGAUUUUCUUUCUUUAGGGUCGACCAGGACCGGUUCCGUUUCUUGAUGGCACCCACUGUUGUUGCUAGUGACUUCACUGUCUUGUGAGAUUUUGCUUCUUUAUUACAGGGUUAAAUAGUCAAUUGUUUUGUCUGGUCUCUAUGUCUCUCAAUGACAACAAUCUGAACUGCUGUAUUGUGUGCCUUGAAAAGCAUGGUUGCAACCAUUCCUAAUUUUUUGUUCUUGUUCGAUUUGGAUUUGGAUGCAGCAGGUGCUUUGCUCUUGCACAUGGUGUGUGUCUCCGGCACAGCGGUGCUUCUUGAGGCGACCGGUGGGACGGCGGUUGUGUAUGUCGGCGACAACAAGCUCUCUGGUGAGCGGCUCCCUCUCCUACCCCUAGUUCUCUUUUAUACUCCUAUAGCACUGCUCUGUUUGUUUAGAGCACUAGCAAUAGGAGUAGUAAAAGCUUACUGACGUAGGAUUAGUGAAGUCUUCAUGGUUGAUCCUGAUUGCUGAACAUGGGAGAUGUAUCUUCUUUUGCAUAUCAAUUACAUAGCAGUACUAUGUAAUGGAACAGUCUAUGUACUGUUAUUUUUAGGUUAGGUUGAAGUGAUUGGUAGGCCUUCGUUAACAAGCGAGCUUCUUUAAAUUUCCGUUGUUAUUUGCACUAUAUUCCACGCACUCCUCAUGUGAAUCUGUGAUCAUAUCCAUAGACCAGUGAAUUAUUUGCACUAUUUGCUUGCUGUGAAGUAUCCAGUAUUUGUUACAUUAUAUCUUUUAGUAGUAAAAUUGAGAAUGGCAAGCUACAUUCUUCAACUGAACUGCUCUUUCAUUGUACCACAAAAUACUGAAGUUUUGCUAUGUAUAACAUUGCUACAUGUGUUUUUGUCUAUAUAGAAUUGCAUUCAUUUCCUCUUCUUUCAGUAGUUACAUAGCUUGAGGUUUGUGUAUUCUUUUGAAUAGGAUGUACUGUUCUAUGCAGAAGAUCUGAUUUGCACAAACAUAGUUAUCUGCGUGUGCUGCCUGACUUGGUAUUUGUUAUAUCCUUUUGGUUGAAUGGAUGGUGGUGCCACUACAGUGGUAGUUUAUUCAGGUUGCUAUGAGGUUAAUCCCUUUGGAAACAUUCUUUGAGAAUUUUGUAAUGCUUCCUUUGGGGUGGUGAUACACUAUCGCGCAAGUUCUAUGGUAUGCGAGUUCCUGUUGUUGGUGCAAGCAUUGAUAAAAUAUGUCAUGUGCAGGGAGCUCCGCAUCUGAGUCUCGGCCAUGCUCCACAGCAAGGAGCUGGGCCAGGGGAGAAAGCAGCGAUGUUGGUUCCUUGAGGCCGGAUCAAGAAUUUUACUAUGUUUUGUGUUCUUCAUGUAUGUCCAGUUUCACAUUGCUGGUGUUUCAUGCCAUAUUCAUCAAUCCUACUCACAUGCCUUAUGGUUGAGUAACUUGAUUAGUAUUGAUGCCACUAUCCUAUCUCAAUAAACUGUUUGUUUUUUCAGUAGCAAAUAAAUAAAUAAAGUAAAUCUACUAUAUCUUGGUAUUCUAGAAUUUCGGUGCCUAACAGAAGUUGCUUUAUGUCCUGCUUUAGCUUGGAAACCUGAUGAUUUGUUGUUUGUUAUCAUUUCUUAAGUUUGAAAUGUUUCAAAAUCUCGUGUGCCCCGGUCCUUGAAUAGAUAUGUAUGCACCUUAGUAGUAAUAAAUACAUUGGUCAUGUAAAUAUCACUGGGAACUAUAUCUGUGUCCAUAUGUUCUUGCCAGCAUUAAAUGUUGUAAGUAGAGGUUAGAAAUGCAGAACUGGGAUGUUGCGCUGGAAGUUUCAGCUUCACGUCUUCUUAGGUUUAACUGUUGGUUUACAUUGAAACUGUAGCAAGUGUCAAAUGAUGGUUUCUUACAAGCGCACAUAACUAUUGGUUGUGCAAUUUGUCUAGUAAUCUAGGUGCACAUAAGUAUCAGGCCAUAUGUUUUCUUAUAAGCAAACUAUAUUGGUGGUUGUAAGAUAUAACUUAAAAUAUACUAGUGCUAUCGUGAUUUUCAUACUAAAUGCCAUUCAUUUAUCAGUCUGAUUUUUUUAUGCUUCUAAUGCGUGAUCCUUCCAAUGCUAGGUGAUUUGAUUUUCAGAAGUUGGAAGAAGAGGACGAUGAAGCAUGGAGUUUUCUAUUAAUCUACCUCUUGUUCUGGUUGUACUCUGUAGCUAGUUAUAUUGUAAUCGGUAGUAGUCAGUAGAUCUAUUUCUAUGAAUACUAUGUAAAGACUGUAAUAGGCUAAUUUUGCAUAUCAUUUCAAGAAUUUAGUUUUGUUCCAUUUGAAAUAUUUGUUUUUUGUGUACUGUGAAAGCUUGAGAAGUAAAAAGUUGGCAAGUUGGACCAACUUAAUGAAAAAGGCCAAGUCCCCAAAAGUAAAUGGAGUGUAAAAU
rnacentral:lncRNA from 1 species